UUGAACGCUGGCGGCAGGCCUAACACCUGCAAGUCGAGCGGAUGAAGGGAGCUUGCUCCUGGAUUCAGCGGCGGACGGGUGAGUAAUGCCUAGGAAUCUGCCUGGUAGUGGGGGAUAACGUCCGGAAACGGGCGCUAAUACCGCAUACGUCCUGAGGGAGAAAGUGGGGGAUCUUCGGACCUCACGCUAUCAGAUGAGCCUAGGUCGGAUUAGCUAGUUGGUGGGGUAAAGGCCUACCAAGGCGACGAUCCGUAACUGGUCUGAGAGGAUGAUCGGUCACACUGGAACUGAGACACGGUCCAGACUCCUACGGGAGGCAGCAGUGGGGAAUAUUGGACAAUGGGCGAAAGCCUGAUCCAGCCAUGCCGCGUGUGUGAAGAAGGUCUUCGGAUUGUAAAGCACUUUAAGUUGGGAGGAAGGGCAGUAAGUUAAUACCUUGCUGUUUUGACGUUACCAACAGAAUAAGCACCGGCUAACUUCGUG
rnacentral:rRNA from 1 species